rnacentral:rRNA from 1 species
UGGGGAAUCUUGCGCAAUGGGGGAAACCCUGACGCAGCGACGCCGCGUGAGCGAUGAAGGCCUUCGGGUCGUAAAGCUCUGUCAAGUGGGAAGAACCCUCCGCCGGUGAAAACCGGCGGAGCUGACGGUACCACUAAAGGAAGCACCGGCUAACUCCGUGCCAGCAGCCGCGGUAACACGGAGGGUGCUAGCGUUGUUCGGAAUUACUGGGCGUAAAGGGCGUGUAGGCGGCUUGGUAAGUCGGAAGUGGAAGAUUAGGGCCUAACCCUAAAAUUGCCUUGGAAACUGCAUCACUUGAGUCAGCGAGGGGAUGGCGGAAUUCCAGGUGUAGCGGUGAAAUGCGUAGAUAUCUGGAGGAAGGCCGGUGGCGAAGGCGGCCAUCUGGCGCUGAACUGACGCUGAGGCGCGAAAGCGUGGGGAGCAAACAGGAUUAGAUACCCUGGUAGUCCACGCCCUAAACGGUGGGUACUAGGUGUAGGGCUCGCAAGGGUUCUGUGCCGUAGGGAAACCAUUAAGUACCCCGCCUGGGGAGUACGGCCGCAAGGUUG